AGAAAAAUAAGCUAAUUUUAAAGCUACUGGACUCAUAACCCAGCUAUAGGUUCCACCUUUUUUCUA
rnacentral:tRNA from 1 species